ACGAACCGUCCAAACGUUAUUCGGAAUCACUGGGCUUAAAGGGUGCGUAGGCGGUCCGGAAAGUUGGGUGUGAAAGCCCUCGGCUUAACCGAGGAAUUGCGUCCAAAACUACCGGACUCGAGGGAGACAGAGGUAAGCGGAACUUAGGGUGGAGCGGUGAAAUGCGUUGAUAUCCUAAGGAACACCAGGAGCGAAAGCGGCUUACUGGGUCUCAUCUGACGCUGAGGCACGAAAGCUAGGGGAGCGAACGGGAUUAGAUACCCCGGUAGUCCUAGCCGUAAACGAUGAGCACUGGGUUGGAGGGUCCUCCAGAGCCUUCUAGCCGUAGCGAAAGUGUUAAGUGCUCCGCCUGGGGAGUAUGGUCGCAAGGCUG
rnacentral:rRNA from 1 species